GAAAAACUGAAAUGAGUUCUCAUCUGAGGUACAUCCUUUUACAUGGCAUUUGAGACACUUACUGCAUAUUGGCCCUGGCCCAACUGGCACUCCCAGCCCAUGUGGUGUUUUGAGUCCAUGCUUGUAAUGCAUAGGAAAGGCUGAGGAGCAUUAAAUGAAAUGAGAUGCCCUACAGUCUUGUGGACUUAAUGGAUAAGCCGAGUAACAGUGAGUAACAGAAAUUAGAAGUACAGAAGAUCACUACCUCCAAGAAAUCCGACCUCAUUCUAAAUGUUGAUGGCUUUAUUGGUGUGGCUUUUGUGGACCUCUUAAGAACAUGUGGAGGAUUCACAUGGGAUGAGGCAGAUGAAUUUGUUGAGAUUGGGACUCUUAAUGGAAUCUUAUUGGAAUCUUCAUUCUGGGACGCAGCAUUGGUUUCAUCGGUAAACCACUGAAUUACUCUUUACUGUUCAGACACGGCCCCAUCAGUUCUAAACAGAAUAUCUGCUGAAAAAUAACCUCUAUUACCCAAAAUGUCUGUUAUUGAUUUCUGUUGUUGAAUUGGGAUUAUUUUAAAUAGUUUUCCAUUGCGUUAAAUAUUAAAGAUGUUUGUAUUGUUUGUGUGAGGUUUUUUUGUAUUUGUUUUCACUGUAAAUCCCACAGGUCACCAUCUUAUUAUUUUAUUACUUUAUCAUAGUGGGAAGGGGUAAAUUAUUCAGUCAUAACCAAAGAAAUACACUAGCAAAAUACUGACAAAUAGUAGUUGUUAACGUUCAUGGUAAAGCAUGACAACUCUAAUGAAUUUAUAAAACGGUUGCUUCUAAAGCAAGCUUCAUGGCGCAGUUUCAUUGGCCAUCUUAUAUUACUAACACUUUAAUGCACUUUCCUUUGCUUUGUUUAUGAUUAACAAAUGGAGAAUCAUUUAUGUCUCUUCAGGCUGUGAGUUCUAAUAGUCUGAAUGAAGACACCACAGCCUGUAUAUGCAAAGCUUCUAAUUCUAAAGCACACUCU